rnacentral:tRNA from 1 species
GGUGGCUCAGUAGUAGAGUGCUUGCCUUGCAUGCAUGAGACCCUGGGUUCAAUUCCUAAGUACCA